rnacentral:rRNA from 1 species
GAUGAACGCUGGCGGCGUGCCUAAUACAUGCAAGUCGAGCGAACGGACGAGAAGCUUGCUUCUCUGAUGUUAGCGGCGGACGGGUGAGUAACACGUGGAUAACCUACCUAUAAGACUGGGAUAACUUCGGGAAACCGGAGCUAAUACCGGAUGAUAUUUUGAACCGCAUGGUUCAAAAGUGAAAGACGGUCUUGCUGUCACUUAUAGAUGGAUCCGCGCUGCAUUAGCUAGUUGGUAAGGUAACGGCUUACCAAGGCAACGAUGCAUAGCCGACCUGAGAGGGUGAUCGGCCACACUGGAACUGAGACCCGGUCCAGACUCCUACGGGAGGCAGCAGUAGGGAAUCUUCCGCAAUGGGCGAAAGCCUGACGGAGCAACGUCGCGUGAGUGAUGAAGGUCUUCGGAUCGUAAAACUCUGUUAUUAGGGAAGAACAUAUGUGUAAGUAACUGUGCACAUCUUGACGGUACCUAAUCAGAAAGCUGCGGCUAACUACGUG